UACGUAGGGUGCAAGCGUUGUCCGGAAUUAUUGGGCGUAAAGAGCUCGUAGGCGGUCUGUUGCGUCGGCUGUGAAAACCCGGGGCUCAACUCCGGGCCUGCAGCCGAUACGGGCAGACUAGAGUUCGGCAGGGGAGACUGGAAUUCCUGGUGUAGCGGUGAAAUGCGUAGAUAUCCGAAGGAACACCGGUGGCGAAAGCGGCGCGCUGGACCUCUUCUGACGCUGAGGCGCGAAAGCCAGGGGAGCAAACGGG
rnacentral:rRNA from 1 species